rnacentral:rRNA from 1 species
GUCUCAGUCGGAUCGCAGGCUGCAACCCGCCUGCGUGAAGUCGGAAUCGCUAGUAAUCGCGGAUCAGCAUGCCGCGGUGAAUACGUUCCCGGGCCUUGUACACACCGCCCGUCACACCAUGAGAGUCGGGAACACCCGAAGUCCGUAGCCUAACUAGCAAUAGAGGGCGCGGCCGAAGGUGGGUUCGAUAAUUGGGGUGAAGUCGUAACAAGGUAAC